AUUAUUUAAGGAAUGUCCUUCCAGUCUGCAGGCAGAUAGGCUCUCCAAGGAGAUUUUGGCAGGGGUGAAAUGACUGGCAUUUUGACCUGAGCGAAAUUUCUGAAUUUCCGAGCUGUGAUAGACACUGGAGCUUCUGGCUCUUGGGACUCUAGCAGAACCCCACCUGCUCACCCGCAGGCCUCAGGCCUUCAGAUUAGGACUGAAUUCCACCACUGGCUUUCCGGGUUCUCCAGCUUGCAGAUGGCAGAUGAUGAGACUUCUCAGCCUCCAUAAUCAUGUGAGCCAAUUCCCAUAAUAAAUCUCUCUCUCUCUAUCUCUGUCUUACUCUCUCUUGAUUCUGUUUCUCUGAAGAACCCUAACUAAUACAGAUACCUUCAUUUUACAAAUGAAUAAAGUGCAGUGCCAGAGAAGUUCUGUGAAUUGUCUAGGGUCAUACACUCCUUCAUUUAUUUAAUUGUGCAUUAAGUCAACUAGUAUUCUAGGUACCAAGGAAGUCAACAUACUAGACCACAUUGCCUGUCUUCAAGAAAGUUAUGUUUUGGUUAGAAAAGCAUAUAGGACCUCGGCCUCCACCUCAGCCUCCGCCUCCACCUCCGCCUCCACCUCCACCUCGUCUCCCACUUUCCACAGUCUCCCUCUGAUGCCGAGCGGAGGCUGGACUAUACUGCCACCAUCUCGGCUCACUGCAACCUCCCUGCCUGAUUCUCCUGCCUCAGCCUGCCGAGUGCCUGGGAUUGCAGGCGCGCACCGCCACGCCUGACUGGUUUUUGUAUUUUUUGGUGGAGACUGGGUUUCGCCGUGUUGGCGCGGCUGGUCUCCAGCUCCUGACCGCGAGUGAUGUGCCCGCCUGGGCCUCCUGAGGUGCCGGGAUUGCAGACGGAGUGUCGCUCACCCAGGUCUCAAUCUUGCCCAGGCUGGAGUGCAGUGGCGUGAUCUCGGCUCGCUACAACCUCCACCUCGCAGCCACCUGCCUUGGCCUCCCAAAGUGCUGAGAUUGCAGCCUCUGCCCCGCCGCCACCCCGUCUGGGAAGUGAGGAGCAUCUCUGCCUGGCCGCCCAUCGUCUGGGAUGUGAGGAGCCCCUCUGCCCGGCCGCCCAGUCUGGGAAGUGAGGAGCGCCUCUUCCCGGCCGCCAUCCCGUCUAGGAAGUGAGGAGCGUCUCUGCCCGGCCGCCCAUCGUCUGAGAUGUGGGGAGCGCCUCUGCCGGGCCGCGACCCCUUCUGGGAUCUGAGGAGUGUCUCUGCCUGCCCGACCGCCACCCCGUCUGAGAAGUGAGGAGCCCCUCCGCCCGGCAGCCGCCUGGUCUGGGAAGUGAGGAGCGUUUCCGCCCGGCAGCCGCCCCAUCCAGGAGGUGGGGGGCAGCCCCCGCCCCGCCAGCCGCCCCAUCCGGGAGGGAGGUGGGGGGCAGCCAGCCGCCCCGUUCGGGAGGUGGGGGGCGCCUCUGCCCGGCCGCCCUGUCUGGGAAGUGAGGAGACCCUCUGCCCGGCCGCCACCCUGUCUGGGAGGUGUACCCAACAGCUCAUUGAGAACGGUCCAUGAUGACGAUGGCGGUUUUGUUGAAUAGAAAAGGGGGAAAUGUGGGGAAAAGAAAGAGAUCAGAUUGUUACUGUGUCUGUGUAGAAAGAAGUAGAUAUAGGAGACUCCAUUUUGUUCUGUACUAAGAAAAAUUCUUCUGCCUUGGGAUGCUGUUAAUCUAUAACCUUACCCCCAACCCCGUGCUCUCUGAAACAUGUGCUGUGUCCACUCAGGGUUAAAUGGAUUAAGGGCGGUGCAAGAUGUGCUUUGUUAAACAGAUGCUUGAAGGCAGCAUGCGCCUUAAGAGUCAUCACCACUCCCUAAUCUCAAGUACCCAGGGACACAAACGCUGCGGAAGGCGGCAGGGACCUCUGCCUAGGAAAACCAGAGACCUUUGUUCACAUGUUUAUCUGCUGACCUUCCCUCCACUAUUGUCCUAUGACCCUG
rnacentral:lncRNA from 1 species